CCCGCUAUUUCCAUUUUGACUACCAAUUGCGUUUAAAUCAGAAGAAAAUGAGUCACCUUAUAAACUUAUUUAUAUAGAAAACAAACAUCUGGCAAAGCAAGAUGAGAGCAUAGCAGCUCAUAGAAUAGGUUGCCUUAGUACCCUCCUCCAGACCUUAAAAAAAAAGCAGUUAAUUAAAAAAUUUUGAAGAUGUGGCUAUCCAUGAUUUUGCAUAUAAUUUAUGCUCCUUCAGUUUCCAUCAAUUGUAUAAUGAAGACAAGGUUUAUUCAGCAUGAUUUUGGACGGGAUAGUUACACAAUGAACCCAGCAAGAUUGAGGUCAGUACUCAGUACUUCACCCUCAAAGGUUUCACCACCAAUGAGUUUUAACCCUGUGAACCUGAAGUCGUCUUGAGGGUUGUAUGGGCUCAAGUUUAAGUCCUAGUCGAAGCAAAUUGAACCC
rnacentral:misc_RNA from 1 species